rnacentral:rRNA from 1 species
GGGGGAUAACUUUGGGAAACUGAAGCUAAUACCGCAUGACACCUGAGGGUCAAAGGCGCAAGUCGCCUGUGGAGGAACCUGCGUUCGAUUAGCUAGUUGGUGGGGUAAAGGCCUACCAAGGCGAUGAUCGAUAGCUGGUCUGAGAGGAUGAUCAGCCACACUGGGACUGAGACACGGCCCAGACUCCUACGGGAGGCAGCAGUGGGGAAUAUUGGACAAUGGGCGCAAGCCUGAUCCAGCAAUGCCGCGUGUGUGAAGAAGGUUUUCGGAUUGUAAAGCACUUUCAGCGGGGACGAUGAUGACGGUACCCGCAGAAGAAGCCCCGGCUAACUUCGUGCCAGCAGCCGCGGUAAUACGAAGGGGGCAAGCGUUGCUCGGAAUGACUGGGCGUAAAGGGCGCGUAGGCGGUUGACACAGUCAGGUGUGAAAUUCCCGGGCUUAACCUGGGGUCUGCAUUUGAUACGUGGCGACUAGAGUGUGAGAGAGGGUUGUGGAAUUCCCAGUGUACAGGUGAAAUUCGUAGAUAUUGGGAAGAACACCGGUGGCGAAGGCGUCAACCUGGCUCAUGACUGACGCUGAGGCGCGAAAGCUUGGGGAGCA